rnacentral:lncRNA from 1 species
AACUUUAGAUGCUAAAGUUUAGCAACUUUGAGCUGCUAAACUGCAAAACACUCUUGCUAAAACUUGCUAAAGUUGAGUUGCUAAAGUUUAGAACUUUAGCAAGUUUUGGGUUGCUAAAACUUGCUAAAAGGUGGGCUGGACACCUUAUACCCCUCAUUAUUGUCUGGCACUCCCGCACUCCCGCACGCACCCCACCCGCAUACCCCUCCC